CUCACAGCCCACCUGGUGUUAAGUGGUUACUGGAGCCCAUAGACAUCCACAACGUAAAUGCGCCACCCACCUUGAGAUACAAGUUCUAAGAUCUCAAGUAUAGUUACAACGGCUGCCCCACCCUUCAAACCGAAACGCAUUACUGCUUCACGGCAGAAAUAGGCAGGGUGGUGGUACCCACCCGCGCGGACUCACAAGCGGUCCUACCACCAGUAAAAAUUGUAACAAAAUACCUACUGUAGAAUUACUAGAUAAAACGAUGGAACGGAAAAGACCGACCUUUGACUGUUUUUCAAUGUUAAAUGUGUUUUGUUACACAAUUUUCUCUCUCUCUCUCUCUCUCUCUCUCUCUCUCUCUCUCUCUCUAAAUUGUGAAACUGAGCAGAUCGCAGAAGCAUAAUUCUGUUUAUAACCGCUGCAGAGCUCUCAGACACUUUGGUUUUAAGAUAUAGCUCUUAUUAAGACGCCUCCCUCAUUUUCCAAGUAGUUCAUUUUUCAUUUUUCCAUUCACGCUAUAGUGAAUAUGGGUUUUCACUGUAGACCGUAUUGUUAGAGCCUAAUAAAUGAACCAAUUAAUGUUUCAAUAUCAGCUGGUAUUUAGCCAAAUGAACUGUACUUGAACUUGACUUGACUUGUCAAUACAAGAACAGUCAAUGAAUCGAGUCACUCUAAAACCAGAAGUAGGUUUAGGGACCUGGUAACCGUACUCUUCAAACUCGCUAAAGAGGAUCGUUUGGUACCUCUGGAUCUGCGGAGGGACUUCGGUUCCCUCUGUAUUUUGUACCGUAUGUUCCAUGGGGAGUGCUCUGAGGAUUUGUUUGAGAUGAUACCCUCAUCUCGUUUUACCAUCGCCCGCUAUUGGAGUAGAGUUCAUCCAUACUAGCUGGAGCCACUGCGUUCAUACACAGUGCGGUUCCAGAGAUCUUUUUUGUCACGUAUUAUCCGGAUUUGAAAUGCGGUUCCCUCCACGGUGUUUCCCGAGCGCUAUGACCUAUCCUUCUUCUUGGCUCUGCCCCUGCUGACGUCCAUGCGACGGUAACCACUCACCCUCAGGUGGGCCGUAUGCUCGUCUGCCUAUACGGCAAUAAUAAAAAAAAGUACGAAGUCAAACUUAACCCAUACAUCAGCCCGCCGAGUUUCUCGCCGGAUCAUCUCAGCGGGUCGCGAUUCCGAUCCGGUAGUAGAUGCAUUCGUGAAGCAGCUGCCCUUAAGCUGUUAAGUCUCCUUCGAAGUCGCUCAAAGCUGUUAACACAUCCCGCCUCUCCUGGCUGAGUUCGUGCUCGCCCACCUGUCCCAGUGCAACUGGAAAAGCCCCCGGGCCACCAGUAAUCCUUUUAUAAAAACAUAGAACAUAAAAAAAAAACAAUUACUAUAGUUAUUAUCUUGGAAUAAUGUCUUAUAACAUUGUGCAUAUGGCACCAAAGAAACACAGAGACGACCGUUACCUCUAAAGCUAUAAAGUAUUCGAUGCGAAGGAAAUACAAUUAUUAUAAUGACAAGAAAUACGAAAACGCGAAAUUAAAAGACGACUUCAAACAAGAAUAUAAAAACUUUAAUGGGAAAUUAAAAGGCUAAGAUCAUCGAUCGAGCUGGGUGGAUCGACGACCGAAUGCUUUUAUUUGGAACUUUUUUUUAUUUUUUUAUUGCUAAGGUGAGUGGACGAGCUCACAGUCCACCUGGUGUUAAGUGGUUACUGGAGCCCAUAGACAUCUACAACGUAAAUGCGCCACGCACCUUGAGAUAUAAGUUCUAAGGUCUCAGUAUAGUUACAACGGCUGCCCCACCCUUCAAACCGAAACGCAUUACUGCUUCACGGCUGAAAUAGGCAGGGAGGUGGUACCUACCCGUGCGGACUCACAAGAGGCCCUACCGUUGUAGGCAGACGAGCAUACGGCCCACCUGAUGGUAAGUGGUCACCGUCGCUCAUGGACGUCAGCAAUGCCAGGGGCAGAGCCAAGCCGCUGCCUACCAUAAAGUACUCUCCGCAAGCCUCGUUUGAAGAAGGACAUGUCAUAGCGCUCGGAAAACACCGUGGAGGCACCCUUGAAUGUAUGCAACUUACAAUAAAAAUGUCGUGAGCGCCAUUCGGGUUUUUGUUAAAUCUCUGCUGUACUACGAGACCUACCGUCACACUUUUUCACCUUGUAGGUUUUGACCAACAUAAAAUAUUCUUAACCAGAUAAUAUUUUGGGACACUUCUCAAUUAAGUGAAUUUACCAGUCUUUUUCAGUUAUAAAAAUAUGUUUUCGGUAGCCUCUCGUUUCGAUCUUAAUGUGGCGCCUAUCAACUAUUGUUUUUGUAAUGGAAUGGUCAACUAGUAGCCCGAAGGCCUUUUCAGCUUCGAUGGGAUGGUUGAACGAGCACAAACUCAGCCUGGAGGAGAAGGAUUUGUUAACAACUGCCCAAGGGCCUCUGGAAAGAUCUGGGUAGAAACGUGGCGAGUUGAUGUUAUGCGCUAGGUUUCACUGAAGUUUUCAAUGAGUUUGACGAGUACGGUUACCAAGGGUAUCUAAACUUGAUCCUAGUAUUAAGCUGCAAGCGUCUAGCAAAAGUGUUUGUGGAUCCGGAGGAUCCGAAAGGACACUUCUAUGGCUUUACUGGUUCUUGCAUGAAUAAAAAAUCUAAAGAGUAUUCUGUGGUGACCGCGAUAAACCGGCUAUCGUGCCGCAUCGCCUUAUCGAAGUACCAUUCCGAUGCUCACUUCAGGCGUUUCAUGGCGAUGAAUUGGCUAUACAGCAACCUAUCUAAUGGUCCAAUGUCAGGAAUAUUUUUCGCCAACCCAUUUGCUCUGAGCUACAGAAUUUCCCCACGAUGUCAUCCCUUAUAAAUACGGUAUAAAUAAAAAAACUGUCAAAAGUAAAUCUUAAGUUACUUAAACCAAAAAACUAAUCUUGUAACAAAAAGCCAACAAUGCUUAAACAACAAUAGUGAGGUCUCAGAUCAGCCUUGCAACUGUUUCUUUAUGUUUUUUACGUGAAGUUUCAUCUAUAUAAACCGAUUCUAUGAGAGAUCUAGCACAGUAAUCAACUAUCGUGAUAAUCUUACGACAUGCCUGCCCCCUGUGAACCGUGCAAAGAGUCAUGCAAGGAUGGCGCCACCUGUAAAGACGACUGCAACUGCGAUGCCAACUGCUCCGAUUGUCCACCAAAGACAGGAAACUGCUGCUAAUGGACAUCUAAAGGAAACAUUUGAAAACGACCCGUUUUGUUUUUAAGGACUCUGGAUGUAUACUUUAUGAUUAUGGAUAAUAAACAAUUGUGAUCUAUA